GCAGAACAUCAGGAGCUGUCCCGCCGUAGCGCGGGACACGGCAACCUGGCAGGAGACGCCAAGGUGCCCUCCGGAACCGCGGGUGCGGUUUCGGGAUGAGCGAAGACGAAUGUCUUUGAAUUAAGGUCUCCGCG
rnacentral:ncRNA from 14 species